CAGCCGCCGCGGUAAUACGUAGGUGGCAAGCGUUGUCCGGAAUUAUUGGGCGUAAAGGGCUCGCAGGCGGUUUCUUAAGUCUGAUGUGAAAGCCCCCGGCUCAACCGGGGAGGGUCAUUGGAAACUGGGAAACUUGAGUGCAGAAGAGGAGAGUGGAAUUCCACGUGUAGCGGUGGAAUGCGUAGAGAUGUGGAGGAACACCAGUGGCGAAGGCGACUCUCUGGUCUGUAACUGACGCUGAGGAGCGAAAGCGUGGGGAGCGAACAGGAUUAGAUACCCGCGUAGUCCCUGUCUCUUAUAC
rnacentral:rRNA from 1 species